UGCAGUCGAGCGGAACGAUGGAAGCUUGCUUCCAGGCGUCGAGCGGCGGACGGGUGAGUAAUGCAUAGGAAUCUGCCCGAUAGUGGGGGAUAACCUGGGGAAACUCAGGCUAAUACCGCAUACGUCCUACGGGAGAAAGCAGGGGAUCUUCGGACCUUGCGCUAUCGGAUGAGCCUAUGUCGGAUUAGCUAGUUGGUGAGGUAACGGCUCACCAAGGCGACGAUCCGUAGCUGGUCUGAGAGGAUGAUCAGCCACACUGGGACUGAGACACGGCCCAGACUCCUACGGGAGGCAGCAGUGGGGAAUAUUGGACAAUGGGGGAAACCCUGAUCCAGCCAUGCCGCGUGUGUGAAGAAGGCCUUCGGGUUGUAAAGCACUUUCAGCGAGGAAGAAGGCCUGAGGGCUAAUACCCCUCAGGAAGGACAUCACUCGCAGAAGAAGCACCGGCUAACUCCGUGCCAGCAGCCGCGGUAAUACGGAGGGUGCGAGCGUUAAUCGGAAUUACUGGGCGUAAAGCGCGCGUAGGUGGCUUGAUAAGCCGGUUGUGAAAGCCCCGGGCUCAACCUGGGAACGGCAUCCGGAACUGUCAGGCUAGAGUGCAGGAGAGGAAGGUAGAAUUCCCGGUGUAGCGGUGAAAUGCGUAGAGAUCGGGAGGAAUACCAGUGGCGAAGGCGGCCUUCUGGACUGACACUGACACUGAGGUGCG
rnacentral:rRNA from 1 species